rnacentral:rRNA from 1 species
AUCUUCCGCAAUGGACGCAAGUCUGACGGAGCAACGCCGCGUGAGCGAAGAAGGCCUUCGGGUCGUAAAGCUCUGUCCUAAGGGAAGAAACGGACGGUACCUUAGGAGGAAGCCCCGGCUAACUACGUGCCAGCAGCCGCGGUAAUACGUAGGGGGCGAGCGUUGUCCGGAAUUACUGGGCGUAAAGGGUGCGUAGGCGGCUAUAUAAGUCAGGUGUGAAAUACCAGUGCUUAACACUGGAAUUGCAUUUGAAACUGUGUAGCUUGAGUGCAGGAGAGGAAAGUGGAAUUCCUAGUGUAGCGGUGAAAUGCGUAGAGAUUAGGAGGAACACCAGUGGCGAAGGCGACUUUCUGGACUGUAACUGACGCUGAGGUACGAAAGCGUGGGUAGCGAACA